rnacentral:rRNA from 1 species
UACGAAGGGGGCUAGCGUUGCUCGGAAUCACUGGGCGUAAAGGGUGCGUAGGCGGGUCUUAAGUCAGGGGUGAAAUCCUGGAGCUCAACUCCAGAACUGCCUUUGAUACUGAGGAUCUUGAGUACGGGAGAGGUGAGUGGAACUGCGAGUGUAGAGGUGAAAUUCGUAGAUAUUCGCAAGAACACCAGUGGCGAAGGCGGCUCACUGGCCCGUAACUGACGCUGAGGCACGAAAGCGUGGGGAGCAAACAGG